UACGAAGGGGGCUAGCGUUGUUCGGAAUUACUGGGCGUAAAGCGUGCGCAGGCGGCUUCUCAAGUCAGGGGUGAAAGCCCAGAGCUCAACUCCAGAACUGCCUUUGAUACUGAGGAUCUUGAGUUCGGGAGAGGUGAGUGGAACUGCGAGUGUAGAGGUGAAAUUCGUAGAUAUUCGCAAGAACACCAGUGGCGAAGGCGGCUCACUGGCCCGAUACUGACGCUGAGGCACGAAAGCGUGGGGAGCAAACAGG
rnacentral:rRNA from 1 species